rnacentral:rRNA from 1 species
UACGUAGGGGGCUAGCGUUGUCCGGAAUCAUUGGGCGUAAAGAGCGUGUAGGCGGCCCGGUAAGUCCGCUGUGAAAGUCGGGGGCUCAACCCUCGAAUGCCGGUGGAUACUGUCGGGCUAGAGUGCGGAAGGGGCGAGUGGAAUUCCUGGUGUAGCGGUGAAAUGCGCAGAUAUCAGGAGGAACACCAAUGGCGAAGGCAGCUCGCUGGGACGUGACUGACGCUGAGACGCGAAAGCGUGGGGAGCAAACAGG